AUUGAACGCUGGCGGCAGGCCUAACACAUGCAAGUCGGACGGUAGCACAGAGAGCUUGCUCUCGGGUGACGAGUGGCGGACGGGUGAGUAAUGUCUGGGGAUCUGCCCGAUAGAGGGGGAUAACCACUGGAAACGGUGGCUAAUACCGCAUAACGUCGCAAGACCAAAGAGGGGGACCUUCGGGCCCCUCACUAUCGGAUGAACCCAGAUGGGAUUAGCUAGUAGGCGGGGUAAUGGCCCACCUAGGCGACGAUCCCUAGCUGGUCUGAGAGGAUGACCAGCCACACUGGAACUGAGCCACGGUCCAGACUCCUACGGGAGGCAGCAGUGGGGAAUAUUGCACAAUGGGCGCAAGCCUGAUGCAGCCAUGCCGCGCGUAUGAAGAAGGCCUUCGGGUUGUAAAGUACUUUCAGCGGGGAGGAAGGCGGUGCGGUUAAUAACCGCGCCGAUUGACGUUACCCGCAGAAGAAGCACCGGCUAACUCCGUGCCAGCCGCCGCCGUAA
rnacentral:rRNA from 1 species